UACGGAGGGUGCAAGCGUCGUCCGGAUUUAUUGGGUUUAAAGGGUGCGUAGGCGGUCCAUUAAGUCCGGGGUGAAAGCCCGUUGCUCAACAACGGAACUGCCCUGGAAACUGGUGGACUUGAGUACAGACGAGGGCGGCGGAAUGGAUGCUGUAGCGGUGAAAUGCAUAGAUAGCAUCCAGAACCCCGAUUGCGAAGGCAGCUGCCUAGACUGUGACUGACGCUGAGGCACGAAAGCGUGGGGAGCGAACAGG
rnacentral:rRNA from 1 species